GGCGACCGGCGCACGGGUGAGUAACGCGUAUGCAACUUGCCUAUCAGAGGGGGAUAACCCGGCGAAAGUCGGACUAAUACCGCAUGAAGCAGGGAUCCCGCAUGGGAAUAUUUGCUAAAGAUUCAUCGCUGAUAGAUAGGCAUGCGUUCCAUUAGGCAGUUGGCGGGGUAACGGCCCACCAAACCGACGAUGGAUAGGGGUUCUGAGAGGAAGGUCCCCCACAUUGGUACUGAGACACGGACCAAACUCCUACGGGAGGCAGCAGUGAGGAAUAUUGGUCAAUGGCCGAGAGGCUGAACCAGCCAAGUCGCGUGAGGGAUGAAGGUUCUAUGGAUCGUAAACCUCUUUUAUAAGGGAAUAAAGUGCGGGACGUGUCCCGUUUUGUAUGUACCUUAUGAAUAAGGAUCGGCUAACUCCGUGCCAGCAGCCGCGGUAAUACGGAGGAUCCGAGCGUUAUCCGGAUUUAUUGGGUUUAAAGGGUGCGUAGGCGGCCUUUUAAGUCAGCGGUGAAAGUCUGUGGCUCAACCAUAGAAUUGCCGUUGAAACUGGGGGGCUUGAGUAUGUUUGAGGCAGGCGGAAUGCGUGGUGUAGCGGUGAAAUGCAUAGAUAUCACGCAGAACCCCGAUUGCGAAGGCAGCCUGCCAAGCCAUGACUGACGCUGAUGCACGAAAGCGUGGGGAUCAAACAGGAUUAGAUACCCUGGUAGUCCACGCAGUAAACGAUGAUCACUAGCUGUUUGCGAUACACUGUAAGCGGCACAGCGAAAGCGUUAAGUGAUCCACCUGGGGAGUACGCCGGCAACGGUGAAACUCAAAGGAAUUGACGGGGGCCCGCACAAGCGGAGGAACAUGUGGUUUAAUUCGAUGAUACGCGAGGAACCUUACCCGGGUUUGAACGCAUUCGGACCGAGGUGGAAACACCUUUUCUAGCAAUAGCCGUUUGCGAGGUGCUGCAUGGUUGUCGUCAGCUCGUGCCGUGAGGUGUCGGCUUAAGUGCCAUAACGAGCGCAACCCUUGCCACUAGUUACUAACAGGUAAAGCUGAGGACUCUGGUGGGACUGCCAGCGUAAGCUGCGAGGAAGGCGGGGAUGACGUCAAAUCAGCACGGCCCUUACAUCCGGGGCGACACACGUGUUACAAUGGCGUGGACAAAGGGAAGCCACCUGGCGACAGGGAGCGAAUCCCCAAACCACGUCUCAGUUCGGAUCGGAGUCUGCAACCCGACUCCGUGAAGCUGGAUUCGCUAGUAAUCGCGCAUCAGCCAUGGCGCGGUGAAUACGUUCCCGGGCCUUGUACACACCGCCCGUCAAGCCAUGGGAGCCGGGGGUACCUGAAGUCCGUAACCGCGAGGAUCGGCCUAGGGUAAAACUGGUGACUGGGGCUAAGUCGUAACAAGGUAGCCGUACCGGAAGGUGCGGCUGGAACACCUCCUUUCU
rnacentral:rRNA from 1 species